UUCUUGCUGUCGAGGGUCACCACUGUAG
rnacentral:piRNA from 1 species